rnacentral:rRNA from 1 species
AUUGAACGCUGGCGGCAGGCCUAACACAUGCAAGUCGAACGACUGGCGGACUGGUGAGUAAUGUCUGGGAAACUGCCUGAUGGAGGGGGAUCACUACUGGAAACGGUAGCUAAUACCGCAUACCAUCGGAUGUGCCCAGAUGGGAUUAGCUUGUUGGUGGGGUAACGGCUCACCAAGGCGACGAUCCCUAGCUGGUCUGAGAGGAUGAACAGCCACACUGGAACUGAGACACGGUCCAGACUCCUACGGGAGGCAGCAGUGGGGAAUAUUGCACAAUGGGCGCAAGCCUGAGGCAGCCAUGCCGCUUGUAUGAAGAAGGCCUUCGGGUUGUAAAGUACUUUCAGCGGGGAGGCGUUACCUGCAGAAGAAGCACCGGCUAACUCGGUGCCAGCAGCCGCGGUAAUUC